CACAUAUUCCAGUUGGAUAUUCAUUUUCAAACAGCACCCUUGCAAAGUCUAGACAGAUAUUCCCUCUCCUCAUUCUUUUUUCUAGGUACACAGUCUGUCUAUAAACCAUGUAAGACAAAUACUACUAGCAUUCUAUUUUGCAGAAUUAACUCUCAUUAUUGGAGAACCAUUCCAAUUAGUAGUUAAGAUGUUGCAGUAUGUCUCUUGCUUUUCAUUCUCAGCCCUGCCCCCUGAAAACUGUGUUGCUGGUUUAGACACUUCUUAUAUCAAGGCUCUCCAUCUACCUGUUUUCUUACUGUCACAAGAGUGGAUCUGAUCUCAGUUUGUUUUGGGAAUAGAGAUAAACUUACAGUCUUAGAGUUUCUUUUCUCACUCUUUAGAGUGAUUCCACUGUUCCCCCUACUGCAUAGUGUUUCUCUCCUGUUAUUGGAAUUCUUAAUGCUUUAGUGAGUGAUUUCUUUUUUAUUGCAUUUGAUACUGUUCCAGCAUGGUGUUCACCGAG
rnacentral:lncRNA from 1 species